GAUGAACGCUAGCGGCAGGCUUAAUACAUGCAAGUCGUGGGGCAGCGCGGGUAGCAAUACUUGGCGGCGACCGGCAAACGGGUGCGGAACACGUACGCAACCUUCCUUUAACUGGAGAAUAGCCCCGAGAAAUCGGGAUUAAUACUCCGUAACAUAAUGAUGAGGCAUCUCUUUAUUAUUAUAGCUCCGGCGGUUAAAGAUGGGCGUGCGACUGAUUAGAUAGUUGGUCGGGGAACGGACCCGACCCAAGUACUGCGAUCAGUAACUGGUGUGAGAGC
rnacentral:rRNA from 1 species